AGUGAACGCUGGCGGUAGGCCUAACACAUGCAAGUCGAACGGCAGCACAGGAGAGCUUGCUCUCUGGGUGGCGAGUGGCGGACGGGUGAGGAAUACAUCGGAAUCUACUCUGUCGUGGGGGAUAACGUAGGGAAACUUACGCUAAUACCGCAUACGACCUACGGGUGAAAGCAGGGGACCUUCGGGCCUUGCGCGAUUGAAUGAGCCGAUGUCGGAUUAGCUAGUUGGCGGGGUAAAGGCCCACCAAGGCGACGAUCCGUAGCUGGUCUGAGAGAAUGAGCAGCCAAACUGGAACUGAGAAAGGGUCCAGACUCCUACGGGAGGCAGCAGUGGGGAAUAUUGGACAAUGGGCGCAAGCCUGUUCCAGCCAUACCGCGUGGGUGAAGAAGGCCUUCGGGUUGUAAAGCCCUUUUGUUGGGAAAGAAAUCCAGCUGGCUAAUACCCGGUUGGGAUGACGGUACCCAAAGAAUAAGCACCGGCUAACUUCGUGCCAGCCGCCGCCGUAA
rnacentral:rRNA from 1 species